GAUCGACAGAUAUUUUGUAGAAGCUGCAGAAGAGGAAUCUUCUGGCCAGACUGAAGAGGAACGAGGACCACCAAGACGAUGUGGGGAGGUCCAUACAGGACUGUCCUUCUCCUUUCUCCUUCAGAACAGACACACUGGCAUGCAGUUAGAAUUAUCCAUCACUGCACACAGAAUUGCAGAGAGGACUGAGAAUGCAAGUCUUGUGAACCUUGAAGACACUCCAGAUGAGGAAGGACCAACAUUUCCUCUGGCACUGCCAGCAUACCCUCACGAGGGUGACAAGAGGGAUGAAAAUCGUCUUGCA